GAUGAACGCUGGCGGCGUGCCUAAUACAUGCAAGUCGAGCGAACGGACGAGAAGCUUGCUUCUCUGAUGUUAGCGGCGGACGGGUGAGUAACACGUGGAUAACCUACCUAUAAGACUGGGAUAACUUCGGGAAACCGUAUCUAAUACCGGAUAAUAUUUUGAACCGCAUGGUUCAAAAGUUAAAGACGGUCUUGCUGUCACUUAUAGAUGGAUCCGCGCUGCAUUAGCUAGUUGGUAAGGUAACGGCUUACCAAGGCAACGAUGCAUAGCCGACCUGAGAGGGUGAUCGGCCACACUGGAACUGAGACACGGUCCAGACUCCUACGGGAGGCAGCAGUAGGGAAUCUUCCACAAUGGGCGAAAGCCUGACGGAGCAACGCCGCGUGAGUGAUGAAGGUCUUCGGAUCGUAAAACUCUGUUAUUAGGGAAGAACAUAUGUGUAAGUAACUGUGCACAUCUUGACGGUACCUAAUCAGAAAGCCACGGCUAACUACGUG
rnacentral:rRNA from 1 species